CGAUCAAUCACAAAAUUAAACAAACUUAUGUUUAUUUAUACGCAUGCAACGCGAACGAAAUCGCUGGUAAUCGCUAGUAUGAAAUACAAGAGUUAAUGUAUAAUUAACUAAAGUACAUGCCCGGUGAUUCAUUGAACGAGAACGAAAUUCCGGGGAAACCUGCCUACCAGGAUGCUGCCAUGACUCACUCGAUAGAGAUGUGUACGAUAUUACACGCGUAUACCGACGAAAAGUUUCCCAGUGUGUCGAUUUGGGUCAACGUAAAUCGAAUUUCGAAGAACCCCUGGUCUUUACGCGAAACAAGUUAUUGCCGGUGGAUAUUAGAAACGCUUGAGAAAUUCAUAGGAGGCAUUAAUCUCGCGGAAAGUAUCCUUACGAUCAAUCCUGGCAAUCGAAUUGAUUAUGCAUGCCUGUAGCGGCUACCGAUAUUUCGGUAAAAUAACUCUGAUAAAAAUGUGUCACGCGUACAAAGUAAAUUCCCUCGUCCAAUUAGCCAACCUAGUGCUCAUGAAGGACAAGGGUACUUUGAAUUUCGCUGUUCGUUUCUCGCAGUUUCACAUCUCCCGGAAUUUUAAAUUAGAAAGUUAUUUACAAAGAGUGGCAAAGGAAAUU